rnacentral:rRNA from 1 species
CAAGAGCGUAUAUUAACGUUGUUGCAGUUAAAAAGCUCGUAGUUGAAUGUUGUGUGAUUGUGAGACUGGUCGUUGGUGGAAACGCCUAUUGUACCUUUCUCACACCACAUUUCGGGUCCUCAUCGACCCCCUUUACUGUGAAUAAAUUAGCGUGUUCAAAGCAAACUCUCCUUGAAUACACUAGCAUGGAAUAAUAAUAUAUGACUUAUACGUCUAUUUUAUUGGCUAGACCUUAAGUAAUGAUUGAUAGGAUUGGUCGGGGAAAAGCGGAUUGAUUGGCCAGAGGUGAAAUUCUUUAAUUCAUUCAAGACGAACUAAUGCGAAAGCACUUUUCAAGGACAAUUUCUUUAA